GCAUGCAACCAGUGGACGGCAUCGUCCUUUGGUUAAAUAUUCAUAGGAUAUGGAUGGGCUCGCGUGACAUUAGCUAGUUGGUGGGGUAACGGCCACCAAGGCGACGAUGUCUAGGGGGCUCUGAGAGGAGAAUCCCCACACUGGUACUGAGACACGGACCAGACUCCUACGGGAGGCAGCAGUAAGGAAUAUUGGUCAAUGGGGGCAACCCUGAACCAGCCAUGCCGCGUGCAGGACGACUGCCCUAUGGGUUGUAAACUGCUUUUGUCGGGGAAUAAACCCCACUACGUGUAGUGGGCUGAAUGUACCCGAAGAAUAAGGAUCGGCUAACUCCGUGC
rnacentral:rRNA from 1 species